AGCGUCUUAGCGCAGUCGGUAGCGCGUCGGGCUCAUACGCUUUAGCGGAACGUUACCCGAAGGUCCCUGGAUCAAGACCAGGAGACGCUA
rnacentral:tRNA from 2 species